AGCAGCCGCGGUAAUUCCAGCUCCAAUAGCGUAUAUUAAAGUUGUUGCAGUUAAAAAGCUCGUAGUUGAAUUUCGGGAUUGACGUGAUGGUCGUGCCUUAAGGGGUAUGAACUGUCGCAGUUGAUUUCUCACCUUCUGGAGAAGCUUGAUGUCCUUAAUUGGGUGUCAUGUGGAACCAGGACCUUUACCUUGAAAAAUUAGAGUGUUUAAAGCAGGCAUUUUGCUCGAAUACAUUAGCAUGGAAUAAUAGAAUAGGACGGCAUGGUUCUAUUUUGUUGGUUUCUAGGAUCACCGUAAUGAUUAAUAGGGAUAGUUGGGGGCAUUAGUAUUCAAUUGUCAGAGGUGAAAUUCUUGGAUUUAUUGAAGACUAACUACUGCGAAAGCAUUUGCCAAGGAUGUUUUCAUUAAUCAAGAACGAAAGUUAGGGGAUCGAAGACGAUCAGAUACCGUCGUAGUCUUAACCAUAAACUAUGCCGACUAGGAAUCAGACGAUGUUAAUUUUUAAUGACUCGU
rnacentral:rRNA from 1 species